GCUUCUUUUAGCCUUCCCUAAUUCAAC
rnacentral:piRNA from 1 species